CCUACGGGUGGCAGCAGUGGGGAAUAUUGGGCAAUGGAGGGACUCUGAACCAGCCACGCCGCGUGAAUGAUGAAGGUCUUCGGAUUGUAAAGUUCUGUGUUGGGGGAUGAUCACAAUGACGGUACCCCAAGUGCAAGCUACGGCUAACUACGUGCCAGCAGCCGCGGUAAUACGUAGGUGGCAAGCGUUAUCCGGAAUGACUGGGCGUAAAGGGUGCGUAGGUGGUUUAGUAAGUUGGCGGUGUAAUUCCGGGGCUCAACCUCGGCGCUACCGCCAAAACUAUUAGACUAGGGGGCAGGAGGGGUAAGUGGAAUUCGUAGUGUAGCGGUGGAAUGCGUAGAUAUUAGGAGGAACAUCAGGGGCGAAGGCGACUUACUGGACUGUAACUGACGCUGAGGCACGAAAGCGUGGGGAGCAAACAGGAUUAGAUACCCGAGUAGUC
rnacentral:rRNA from 1 species